CACGUAGGGCGCAAGCGUUGUCCGGAAUCAUUGGGCGUAAAGCGCGUGUAGGCGGUCCGGUAAGUCCGCUGUGAAAGUCGGGGGCUUAACCCUGGGAUGCCGGUGGAUACUGUCGGGCUCGAGUCCGGAAGAGGAGUGUGGAAUUCCUGGUGUAGCGGUGAAAUGCGCAGAUAUCAGGAGGAACACCAAUGGCGAAGGCAGCUCGCUGGGACGGUACUGACGCUGAGACGCGAAAGCGUGGGGAGCAAACAGG
rnacentral:rRNA from 1 species